GGGGGGCGAAGCGUUGUUCGGAAUUACUGGCGUAAAGGGCGCGCAGGCGGGCGGGAAAGUCUCUCGUGAAAGCCCACGGCUCAACCGUGGAAUUGCGGGAGAUACUACUCGUCUUGAGUCCGGGAGAGGAGUGUGGAAUUCCCAGUGUAGCGGUGAAAUGCGUAGAUAUUGGGAGGAACACCGGUGGCGAAGGCGGCACUCUGGACCGGUACUGACGCUGAGGCGCGAAAGCUAGGGGAGCAAACGGGAUUAGAUACCCCGGUAGUCCUGGCUGUAAACGCUGAGCACUUGGUGUAGCGGGUAUCGACCCCCCUGCUGUGCCCGAAGCUAACGCAUUAAGUGCUCCGCCUGGGGGAUACGGUCGCAAGGCUGA
rnacentral:rRNA from 1 species